GGUCACAUAGCUCAGUUGGUUAGGGCAUGGUGCUAAUGACACCAAGGUUGCAGGUUCGAUCCCCGCUGCGGACA